CCUACGGGAGGCAGCAGUAGGGAAUCUUCCACAAUGGGCGAAAGCCUGAUGGAGCAACGCCGCGUGGGUGAAGAAGGUCUUCGGAUCGUAAAACCCUGUUGUCAGAGAAGAAAGUGCGUGAGAGUAACUGUUCACGUUUCGACGGUAUCUAACCAGAAAGCCACGGCUAACUCCGUGCCAGCAGCCGCGGUAAUACGUAGGUGGCAAGCGUUAUCCGGAUUUAUUGGGCGUAAAGGGAACGCAGGCGGUCUUUUAAGUCUGAUGUGAAAGCCCUCGGCUUAACCGGGGUAGUGCAUUGGAGACUGGGAAACUUGAGUGCCGAAGAGGAGAGUAGAACUCCAGGUGUAGCGGUGAAAUGCGUAGAUAUAUGGAAGAACACCAGUGGCGAAAGCGGCUCUCUGGAC
rnacentral:rRNA from 1 species